rnacentral:rRNA from 1 species
CCUACGGGAGGCAGCAGUGAGGAAUAUUGGUCAAUGGACGAGAGUCUGAACCAGCCAAGUAGCGUGAAGGAUGACUGCCCUAUGGGUUGUAAACUUCUUUUAUAUGGGAAUAAAAUGUCCCACGUGUGGGAUUUUGUAUGUACCAUAUGAAUAAGGAUCGGCUAACUCCGUGCCAGCAGCCGCGGUAAUACGGAGGAUCCGAGCGUUAUCCGGAUUUAUUGGGUUUAAAGGGAGCGUAGGUGGAUUGUUAAGUCAGUUGUGAAAUUUUGCGGCUCAACCGUAAAAUUGCAGUUGAAACUGGCAGUCUUGAGUACAGUAGAGGUGGGCGGAAUUCGUGAUGUAGCGGUGAAAUGCUUAGAUAUCACGAAGAACUCCGAUUGCGAAGGCAGCUCACUGGACUGCAACUGACACUGAGGCUCGAAAGUGUGGGUAUCAAACAGGAUUAGAUACCCGAGUAGUC